rnacentral:rRNA from 1 species
GACGAACGCUGGCGGCGUGCUUAACACAUGCAAGUCGAACGGAAAGGCCCUGCUUUUGUGGGGUGCUCGAGUGGCGAACGGGUGAGUAACACGUGAGUAACCUGCCCUUGACUUUGGGAUAACUUCAGGAAACUGGGGCUAAUACCGGCUAGGAGCUCCUGCUGCAUGGUGGGGGUUGGAAAGUUUCGGCGGUUGGGGAUGGACUCGCGGCUUAUCAGCUUGUUGGUUGGGUAGUGGCUUACCAAGGCUUUGACGGGUAGCCGGCCUGAGAGGGUGACCGGCCACAUUGGGACUGAGAUACGGCCCAGACUCCUCCGGGAGGCAGCAGUGGGGAAUAGUGCACAAUGGGCGGAAGCCUGAUGCAGCAACGCCGCGUGCGGGAUGACGGCCUUCGGGUUGUAAACCGCUUUCGCCUGUGACGAAGCGUGAGUGACGGUAAUGGGUAAAGAAGCACCGGCUAACUACGUG